rnacentral:misc_RNA from 1 species
UACAGAGGGCGCGAGCGUUAAUCGGAAUUACUGGGCGUAAAGGGCGCGUAGGCGGCGGGGCGAGUCGGUUGUGAAAUCCCAGGGCUUAACCUUGGAACUGCAACCGAUACUGCCUGGCUAGGGCCGAAGAGAGGGGUGCGGAAUUUCCGGUGUAGCGGUGAAAUGCGUAGAUAUCGGAAAGAACACCGGUGGCGAAGGCGGCACCCUGGCUUCAGGCCGACGCUGAGGCGCGAAAGCGUGGGUAGCGAACAGG